AAAUAACUUAGUAAUAAACAAAAAAAUACAACAAAAUUUGUAAAUUUUACUUAUCAAAAUUUGAAUCAAAUAAAAUAUAGGUUAAUAUAUUCUAACCCAUCUCAAAAACAAUCUUCAAUAGUAGAAAUAUGUCAUAUAUGUCAUAUAAACUACGGUUAAAAGAAAAAUGUAAUCUAUAAAAAUGAAUUCAUUUUUAUAAUUUUUGGAAACGUGUAAAAUAUGAUUUUAACUUUAACAGUCAAAAUAUAGACUACGAUUCUCUUUUAAUGAACUAUAAAAUAUAAGUAAAAUACUUUUUUAUUAUUUCAAAUGAUAUACUUUUCAUUUUUUCUGUAAACAAUCAUAUAAAUGGUAACAACUUAAAAGGAAACACUUGGAAAAUUUUAAUAACACUCUAACAAUUAUUUUUAAAGAAAGUAAUAAAGUAAAAUGAUGUUUAUAGAACCUCAAAAUCAUUUAUAUUAUACAUAUACUUUUUUUUCAACUUGGUCUCUCUAUAUUUCACAUAGAUUCGUAGGCCUAUAAUUAAUUUUUCAUACUUUAAAGGACUUGCAAGGUUAUCUUCUUCCAUUAUCCAUAAGAUUAUUGAUACUUGAACUAAAUGUACUAAAUUUAUUUCCUCUUUCGAAAAAAUGUACAACACACAUCACAUGCUUCUGAUGCAUAUGCUUUUAUGUGUUCAUAGGACGAUCCAAGGGUCACUAUUGUCUACUAAGUUAUAGUUUAUCUCACAAUCCAAAAGUAGUCAUUAUUUUCCAAUAUAUAUUAAUUAUUAUUUUGAUAUUCAUGCAUGCAUGCUCAUAUGAUGAACAUGGUUAGGCCGCAAAACCUAGUGUUAUUACAAAAGGACAAUGCAUUAUUAUAAUAAAUAAUCUUAAAUUUAAUUAUCCUCUAUUUAAACCCUCCAACACUCAUUAUGAUUUCCACGUCUUCUCUUCUUCUUCUUCUUCUUCUUCUUCUUCUUUCUCUCUCUUAUGUGUAUAUGUACAAAAUAAUGGACAAAAAACCAUGCAACUCACCAUCAUCUCAUGAUCCUGAAGUGAGAAAGGGACCAUGGACCAUGGAAGAAGAUUUGAUCUUGAUCAACUAUAUUGCAAAUCAUGGUGAAGGUGUUUGGAAUUCUCUAGCCAAAGCUUCUGGUAAAAAUAUAUGUUAAUUAUUUUAUUAUUCUUCUUCUUUUUUUUGUUAUAAACCCUAAUUAGGGUUAUAUACAUAUAUCAUCAUGUUGAUGUAUGAAUAUUUGUGUAGGUCUUAAACGAACUGGAAAAAGUUGUCGACUUCGUUGGCUAAACUACCUUCGUCCUGAUGUUAGAAGAGGGAACAUUACAACAGAAGAACAGCUUUUGAUCUUUGAGCUUCAUGCAAAGUGGGGUAAUAGGUGAAUAUAUAUAUCUAUAUAUCUAUAUAUAAAUAUACAUAAAAUAGCAAUACAGUGCACAUUAUUUUUCAACUUUCUUAUAUAUCUGAAUCUUAAUUGGUAUGAGAGGUAUGUCACUUUAAUUCUCAAAAUGAAAAUUUCUUCUCCAACUUUCUCCCACAAUUGAAAGAUAGAAGAAGAUGUUGACUCUAUUCUAACAUGUUAUUGAUUAAAGUUUAUCAGUUUUUUAUGAGCUAAAGCAGAAAAUAAAAAGUGAAAAAAAAAAUAUAUAUAUAUAUAUAUUGGUUUUCAAGCAUUUGAAAGUGUUAUUAGCAUUUUUCUGUAAUCUGAAAAUAACAUAUAGUUUGUAAAAGCAUGUCAAGAACAUAAUUGACAGUGUCAUGGAAAAUCAUUAGAGUGAGAGAUCUAAUUUGUUCAUGGUUUUGAAUUAGCCAAGAAAAGGAUUGGAACACAUGGGGUGUUUGUAAAAUUUAGGUUAAAAAAAAGAUUCCUAUUUUAAAUCGUUUCUGAUAAGUUUUUGGAAAUUCUCAAAAUGGAUUUUACUCGUAUAUGUGAAAGAAAUUAGAGUUUUUUUUUUCCUUGAAGAUACAUUUUUUUUUUUGUAUACAACAUGACACAUGCAUGCAUGUGGUUUUGAGAUCUUGAACAAGAAGAGAAUGAAGUUUUCGAAAAAUUACCUUAAAUAAAAGUUAUUGUUUAUCAUUGUUAUUUUAAUUAUUAAUUUAAUUUUCAAAUAAAAUACUCAUUAAUUUUUAAAUUUAAAAAAGUGAAAGGUAAUUAUGUUUUAAAAUUCCUCUUAUUUCUACCUUUAAUUUUCUUUUAAUCUUUGGUAACUUAUCUUUUUCAAUUAAAUUAUAAAAAAUAUGUACAAGAAUAAGAAGUAUAAGGAUAUUGAUAUUAAGAUUGCAAUAGUUAAGAUAUAUGUAGGAAUAAACAAAAACGACGAACUCCUAAAUAUAUUAAAUAAAAAAGUGAAACAAGUUGUAGAAGUUGAUAAGCUACAAGGAAUUAAUGACACAGUACGCUAAAAAACAGCUAUAUGUUCUUAAACAAAAGCAUAGAAACGGGAUAGAUGGGGUACCUCAAUAAAAUAAAUUAGGUUUAAUUAUUCAUCUAAAUUCAAUAAAUUAAUAAAAAUAUAUUGAAAAAUAUUAGAGUAAAUACUAUUAUUUUUACUAUGUUUCUCUUCUUCUUCACAUAUAAUAAUUUUCAAGGACCCUUCUUCCUAUAAGACAAAAUUUUGUAGGUCUAAUUUUUUUUUUCUGAAAAAUAGAUAUUUUAAAAUAUUUAUUAUAAAAUAAAAGAGUGAAUAAAGAAUUUUAGAAAAUAUAGAUAAAAAAAAUCCUAAACUUGGAUAAUUCACAACUCAACCCUAGUACCUUUCCCACCCUUAGUACUUCUUUUCCCAUCCAAGAAAAAAUAAAACUCAAUUAUUUAAGGAAAAUUUAUAAAUAUUUGGGAUAAAAAAGGAGGCACAAAUUUAGGACACGUGGCUUUUCUUGGGCAAAGAAAAAUGAAGUAAAAAUAAGUUUAAAAUUAAGAAAAAUAUUUGUUGACAACUAGGUAGCACUACUUUUUUGUUUGGUAGGAAAAAAAAUAACUAGAAUGGAUUAAUAGAAAUGGUAAAUGAAAAUAUAGAGAAAUAAAGCAAAAUUUUCAAAACUUUUUUUUAUUGAAAAGAAAUAGAAAAAAAAAUGGUAAUUAAUUAAUUAACUCUACCCUUUUUUUUUUUAAUUUUUCAUUUCAAUCAUACAACUCUCAUCAUUCAUAGUAUUUUCUCUAUCUCUUUCUAUUAAAGAGGGUAUUAUUAGAGGAAAAGGAUCAAAAGAAAUGAAAGUAUAUCAUAGAAUAGAAUAAAUAAUUGAGUUUUCUAUACAUAGAAGUGUACAUAAAUAUCAUAGAAGAAAAAUCUAUGAGGUGAAUCUUGAAAAAAAAAAAAAUCUUGAAAAUUUGUAUAAAACACAGCAAAAAAAAAUAAAAAUUAUACUAAUAGAAUCUAUGAACAAAAUAUGAGAAACCUAGAAAUGUUAGAAUGAAAGUACACUAUAUAUAGUUACCUGGGGAUUGCAUUGAGAAAUAUGAUUUUGGUGUUCUGAGAUCCCAUGUUGUUGCAAAGCAAAUGCAUAUCUCCAAAGGGAGAUCGAGCAACUUAUAGCCAAACUCUUUUAUAAGUGAGACUCGAAAACCAUCAUCACUUUUAUUCUCAACCAAGGAACAUGGUCUCAAAUAUAGACACGUGAAAAAUGCAGAAAAAACAGACAUGUGACAUUUAUUUAAUAUUGGUGUCUGUUUUUUUUUUAUUAUAUUUUAUUAUUAUUAUUAUACUCAUAUAAAACGUGCCAACACUUUCAUUUAGUAUUGGUGUAACUUUAUCAUGACAUUCCUUUUACCCCAAAUGCACAUAUUUCAGUUUGUCUUUUCACCAUCUCUUAAAAUUUCAAUUAAAAUUUAAAUUAUCUAACUUGGUUUCUCUUAUUAAGGUGGUCCAAAAUUGCAAAGCAUCUUCCAGGAAGAACCGACAAUGAGAUUAAGAACUUUUGGAGAACCAGAAUCCAGAAGCACAUGAAGCAAGCUGAGAAUUCACAGCAACAGGGUAAUAAUAACAGUAACAUUUCAGAGACAAAUGAUCAUCAUCAUCACCAUCAACAUCAUCAACAUCAUCAUCAUCAAGCCAGCUCUAGCACAAGCCUAGCAUCCAACAUGGCACUGCAAAUUGAGUCUUACUCCACACCCUCAUAUCAAGAAACUUUGGAGCCAUUUCCAUCACAGUUCCCUCCAAUCACUGAUCAAUCAAGUUCAUGUACCAAUCACAACAUCAACAGCAACACCAACUAUUGGAACAUAGAGGAUUUGUGGUCUAUGCAUAUGCUUAAUGGGGAUUGAAAACCUGCAUGCGUCAUGCAUACAUAAAUCAUAUAUUUAUAUAUAUAUAUAUAUGAUAUAUGAUAUAUAUCUAUAUUUAUAUAUGUAUCUAAGUUGUUAUUGUGUCAUCAGGCUUAACUAAUAACAUCAUUAGGCAAGUUUAUGUGAUGUUACCAUGCAUUUGAUGUGAGUCAAGGAUUAAGUUACUUAUGGAUUGGAGUAUAUUUAUAUAUGUAGGAACUUUUAUUUAUAUGUGCAUUAUUGUAUGAUUAUGGUAAAUAAUAUGGUAGGUGUACCAUAUAAGAUAUGUUUGAGGUUUACAAAACUUUGAAUAAUAUGGCAUGCUCGUGUUGUAGUAAA
rnacentral:lncRNA from 1 species